GUUGGGGUCUCCACCUUACUCAAACAUGGCUUUCUGGGGAACUGAAGUGAAGCCUGGAAAGCCCUUUACUCAAAAAUUUGAUGACUUCAAAGGAAGACUUCAUGUUUCACUGGCAACAUUGGGGUUUGGUUCAGCAACAAAGAAGAGCGUUCUUCAGUGUAACGUGGGGAAUAAGAGUCCUGUCUAUCUAUGCUCAUUGUUUCCUGAGAAGACUGAGUGUUUGCAACUAAAUUUGGAAUACGAAGAGGCCGAUGAAGUUAU
rnacentral:misc_RNA from 1 species